AUUCAAAAUAUGCAAAUACGUGCUAGAACGCGCUGAUAGGCUCACGCUAGCUCGUCCUUCCUCUGCCCACUAGGAUGAAUUUGCUCUCAUUGGAAACGAUAGGCUGUGGUCUUUAUUGGGUUAUAUAAAAAAAACUUUGGUAUACAGUUUGGAGAAAAAAAUUGGGGGCAUUUUAGAAAACACUUUGCCUAACCUUAAUCUAAUAAUGUCCUGAUGUUCUGUUACGUUAAUUAUCCAAAUAUUCUGCGUACUUUCUAACUUGCUACGAAAAGUUCAUUUGGACAAAAACAGUAUCCCUUCUAGCCAAAUCCUUGCCUUCCCGCGUCUGGGUACAACUACUCUCAUUGUUAAACGGAGACACGGCCGUCUCAGUAUUUCUGACGACUAGCUUCCCGUUGCUGGCAGUAUAUAGUUAGCUUGGUUAUUAUUCUAUGCUAAUGAGUCUGAGGGCAACAUGGCUACAUUUUACAACACGUACCAAUCAGAAACAACAUCGAUUAUGGCCGUUGUUGUCGAGGCGGCAAUUACAGAAAUUAACAAACUUUGGCCAAACUCUUACGCUAACGUUAGCAAUCCGGAGAGAGAGCUUUGCACAAUUAUGAAUCUGAUGAUGGAGGAGGCUAUUCGUAAAAUCUGCCAACUAUUCCUAGUGGCUUCCUCGAGUUUACAAAAUGAGAACGUGAAACUGAAGACCAAGGUCGAGCAGAUGACCCAGUUGUUUGAAAACAAUACACAGCCUGGUAAAAGUCCUGCAAAGGUUUGCUGUAAAUCCACAGAGAUGUCUUCAUUGGAGAAUGACUCCUCUCUGGGAGACACAGAUGGACUGAAUACAGACCCCUCCCCAAGAGACACUGACUCCAACGUUGAGCAUAUGAGAGCUGCUCUGCCAGGGAGCAACGAGAGAGACUGCCAUGAAAGCCAGAAAAACAGCAAUACUACUAAAGGGACACGAUCCAAAGAAACCAAACGCUUCAAGUGUGAUAUUUGUGAGAAGACCUUUAGCCGGAACAAACGGCUGAUACAACACAAGCUAACUCACACAAGACCCUUCAAGUGUGAUGUUUGUGACAAGACCUUCAGCAUGGAAGGGUCACUGGAAUCUCACACGCUAACUCACACAAAACCAUUCAAGUGUGAUGAUUGUGACAAGACCUUCAGCCGGAACCGCUUGCUGGUACGUCACAAGCUAAUUCACACAGGAGAGAGGCCAUUCGCUUGUGGUCAGUGUGGCAAAACAUUCAGAAUGUCCAAGCAGCUCGAACAUCACAUGUUGCGUCACAGAGAAAAAACGUUCAGUUGCAAAGUCUGUGGAAAUACAUUCUCUACCAAGAAAGAUCUGAAACGACAUCAGCUUGUUCAUGCAGUGGAGAGACCGUUCAAGUGCCUGACUUGUGACAAGGGUUUCACGUCAAGGAAACUGCUUAUUGAGCACGAGAGAAUCCACACCGGUGAAAAACCAUACACCUGUGCUGUAUGUGGGAAGAGUUACACACAGAGUGGUGGCCUGAGUUAUCAUAUGCGAACACAUACAGGUGAACGUCCACAUUCAUGCUCAGAGUGUGGUAAGCGCUUUAUGACUAAAUCCAGCCUUGAAAGACACAAGGUAAUCCAUACAGGGCAGAAGCCAUUUACAUGUGAGACAUGUGGAGCUGCUUUCGGCCAUAAAGGAAACCUUGUGAGACACCAAGUGCUUCACACAGGGGAGAGACCAUACAAAUGUAAAUUGUGUGGGACAAGCUACCUUCAGUCCACCCUCUUAAAAGCUCACAUGCAUCGUCAUGGGGCAACCAAACCAUUUAUGUGUGACCUAUGUGGGAAGACUUUUAUGUACAAUUUUCUGAUGAGACGACACCAUCUAAAAUGGCACACAGCUGAAGGAGAGAAGCAGAAAGAACGAGAGAGAAAAGAGAGAACGAGAGAGCGAACCGCCAAGAGAGCGGGAACCUCAACAAAGCCAUUCAGUUGCGACGUAUGUUUGAAUGGCUUCAGUUCCAUGCUAACUCUGAAAAACCAUCAACGAAUUCACACGGGACAAAAGCAAUACUCUUGUUCCAUUUGCAGAAAGACCUUUGCCUAUAAAAAUACUUUUGACUAUCACAUGAGACUUCACAGUGGGGUGAAGCCCUACCCUUGUAAAUACUGUGAAAAGAAAUUUGUUCUUAAGCAAGCUCUAGAAGGACAUGAGCGAACCCAUACAGGUGAAAAGCCCUUCAAAUGCAGUUAUUGUGACAAGACUUUCUCAGUCGGCACCAAUCUCAAAAGGCAUGAGCGAGUCCACACGGGAGAGAAGCCAUUCAAAUGUGACGUUUGCGGGAGAGGUUUCGGCCAAGCCAACAACGUCAAAGCCCACAUGCAAGUCCACACUGGAGUUAGGCCUUAUUAUUGCAAGAGAUGUGGAAAGGGCUUUUCUGACAUAAGACACUACAAAAACCAUAGCUGUAAUGGUGUGGCUGCGACAUGUGAUCGUUCUCGUAAAUCUUCAGACCGCACUUUCAGAAGUCGGAAAGGAGGUGAAGACAGCAGUGCUUGCCAUAAUGCUGCUGUGAUGUCGACUCAGUGAUAUAAUCUCUAUCAUUCACAGUGGGGCAACUUCCUGCUUUCAGACAUCAGGAACAACAUGGAUGUAUUCAGUAGGGAUAAGUUCUGGGGGAGCUUUGAAGAGACAGAAGAAAUGCACGAAGUGUGCUGUUGCUUGUCUUCCUCAUGACGUGCUUCAUCCUCAGUCUGCUGGUGGACGUUGGGUUCUUUGUGGUCAAGUUGAGGAGGGCUCGCAUCCCCUGGUGAAAAGAAGGGUAACAAGAAACCAGCACACUAGGAUCAUCUCAUGACUACCUGUACCUUACUUUUCCUAUUUUGGUUCAUCUCCAGUCGUCAACUGAAAUUUCACUCCUGUUGGUUUACAUUUUAUUAGAAUAAGUUGCUAUUAAUUGAGUUCAACCAAGUUCAAAUAAAAAUGUUUUAAAAAAUGAACACAAACCAGCAUAAUGUUCAGUCCUCAAGGACUGGAGUUGUGCACCCUUAUUAUGGCUUAUACACUGAGUGUUCACACAUUAACAAUCAAUUACAUUUAUUUAUAAAGCCUGUCACAAAGACACAAACUAAUAUUGAGUCGUAAAACCAGGAAACGGGGUUCGAUUCCCGGGAUCAACCAUAUGUAAAAUGUAUUCACACAUGACUGUAAGUUGCUUUGGAUAAGUGUCCGCUAAAUUGUAUACAUCAUUUUUUUUUUAAACAGCAAAAAAUGUUGGUUGGGCCUUUUAAAAUCCGUUUUUUUUUUGCCUAUUUCCAUUCCAUAAAAAUAACAAAAUUGGAUUUUCGUUGUUCACAAUGCUUAAACCACAUCAGGGGAUGACUUUUGAGGUCUGGGAAAAAUGGAUGAAAUGUAUAUUUUUUAUGUAGUUAUCCUUUAAUGCAGUGAGCAUGCCCUGCACUGUUGUUUGGUUAGCGGGGUUCUGUAGUGCAGUAAGCGUACAUGUGAUGUGAUUCAGCCGCCAUUAGAAUAUGGGAGUAAAAGGCCAGCCACACUACAAUACUUUUACUGGGGCACCCUGAAUCGUUCUUGCUGUAAGCCAAUAUCUAUUCCAUAUACAGUGAUUCGCAUUGGGGACAUUUUAUUUGACCUUGGAACAUGUUUUAAAACCCAAGUUGAAUGCAAAUGUCAGUCAAAUAUGAACAAAUACGAAUCAUUGUUAAUGUUUAACAAUUAUUUUUAAUAUAUCAUGAAUGGUUAUUGACACUUUUCUACAAUCACGUGGGGGGCUUUUAUUUUGAACAUUUUCGAAAUUCCUUGACCCGGAAGUAUUUUAUUGUGUUGCUGACGAGACGCUAAUCAUGUGAUGGGUUCACAAAUCAAAUGCCCACUUCUGCUGCCACUGUACAGCGAAAAACAAGUUAACCUUUAUUUAUUGUAAUUUAAAUUAGUUUGUAAUAGUUAAGUGUUGGUUUAGAUUACAUACUGUAUGCACCUUAAUCGUUAAUUAAAAUAAUUUCGGUAGGUUCACAUCAAUUACCAGCUAGCCGAAAUGUAGCUAGUUAGCAGGUUCAGCUAAAUACAAAUCCCUCAAGAUACAGCCACGUCUCAUAGGCACGUCAUGAGAUUAGUAAAUGACAGACAAAUAUAAUAAUACGAAUUGAAUGGAGUUUCCCAUCUUCCCAUUUACAGUUUCUGGCACAGCACAGAAAUGCCAUUAUCCAGAUGGUGUGACAAAGGCAUUUCCAAACAGACCUGCUAACACUUUUUGUUAAGAGGCAAUAACCAUUCAUCCACCAGCUCAGUGACAAGCUACACUAUUCACAGCCCUGUGUAAUGUUCAAUGUAAUUGCAUUGCAGGCUUUUUGAAACUUCAUGAAUUUGUAUUGUUUUAAAAAUGGACAAAUAAAAGGAAAUAAGUAAAUAAUGACUCUCGGCAGGGUCGUUACAGUAUGGUUUAAACAUGUCUUUAAUGUUUAUUUGUUUAAGCUGUUAAAGAAUUAUCACUAAGUGUUAAUACCUUUGUGUUUACAUCAUUAAGCCUUUAUGUAUGUGUUCUGAAUGACCAAAGGUGUUUGACUUUAUAGUAAGUACAGGGCCAUGUGAUAUAGAGUCUUUAUGUAUUUGUUAUGAAAGACCGAAGGUGUCUCACUUCAAACUAAGUAUUACAGGACACUACAUAAAGUGUCAAUAAAUAAGCUAUUCAAGUAAAGCUGAUUUAAGGUUCUCUCAAUGAUCCACAGGUUACUUACUGUAGGUUGUGAGAGGUAUUUGAAUGAGUUGAUGUACCUGCAAAGCUUGUUUGUGUGUGUGUGUGUCAGAACCAAGAUGAGACUACCGCACCAGGUAUUCCUCUUCUGUUCCCAUGCUGGAGGCAAUGUCUUGAUUACAACCUGAUUACAACCUGUUAAACUGGUGCCAAUAUUUUGUGGCUGAUCUUUUAGCGGGGGAGUGGGUGAAUGUGUCAAAGACCUGAUUGGGCCCAGCACCGCGCGAUAGGGCUCGUUUUUGUUGUGUGCGUGUUUGUGUACUGAGGAACAACUAACUUGAUUUCAGGAGAAAGACACUCAAUUUCUUUAGGUUGGGGCUUUCAUCAAGGUAAGUAGUUCUUUAUGUAAUGUUGUCCCCAGGCUAUUGCACACAAAAGCCUGGGAUAUCAACCAUUCAAAGUUGGCCUUAGUGGGAGUGACCAUAGAAUUCUUUAGGAGUGAACUUACUGAGAAAAGUAUUUGUCAAAGUCACUAAACACAGUCAAAAAGUCAUAAUUAUGGCUAAACCCUGCCUAUUUCCACAAUUAAUUUUCUUAAAAUAUGAUUUGAAACCUAAGCCUAACUAAUAAAGGCCAAGUUUGAUGCGUUGGUCCACCAAACCUUCCGUGCGUUUGGGUGGAAGUGUUUGUGAACGAGAUUAGGUGUAAUGUACGUGACUAACAUGACAACACUUCAGAGCAGAAGUUCUCAAUCCUCAAUCAAUUUUUGUUUUUGCACUAGCACAAAAAGCCUUUUGAUGAUUUGAAUCAGCUGUGUAGUGCUAGGGCAAAAACAAACAUGUG